GCCUUCGUAGCUCAACGGAUAGAGCACCGGAUUACGGAUCCGGGGGUUGCAGGUUCGAGUCCUGCCGGGGGCACCA
rnacentral:tRNA from 2 species